UAGAGUUUGAUCCUGGCUCAGGAUGAACGCUAGCUACAGGCUUAACACAUGCAAGUCGAGGGGAAACGACAUCGAAAGCUUGCUUUUGAUGGGCGUCGACCGGCGCACGGGUGAGUAACGCGUAUCCAACCUGCCCAUCACUUGGGAAUAACCUUGCGAAAGUAAGACUAAUACCCAAUGAUAUCCCACGAAGGCAUCCGAAUGGGAUUAAAGAUUUAUCGGUGAUGGAUGGGGAUGCGUCUGAUUAGCUUGUUGGCGGGGUAACGGCCCACCAAGGCAACGAUCAGUAGGGGUUCUGAGAGGAAGGUCCCCCACAUUGGAACUGAGACACGGUCCAAACUCCUACGGGAGGCAGCAGUGAGGAAUAUUGGUCAAUGGGCGAGAGCCUGAACCAGCCAAGUAGCGUGCAGGACGACGGCCCUAUGGGUUGUAAACUGCUUUUAUAAGGGAAUAAAGUGAGUCUCGUGAGACUUUUUGCAUGUACCUUAUGAAUAAGGACCGGCUAAUUCCGUGCCAGCAGCCGCGGUAAUACGGAAGGUCCGGGCGUUAUCCGGAUUUAUUGGGUUUAAAGGGAGCGUAGGCCGGAGAUUAAGCGUGUUGUGAAAUGUAGUGGCUCAACCUCUGCACUGCAGCGCGAACUGGUCUUCUUGAGUACGCACAACGUGGGCGGAAUUCGUGGUGUAGCGGUGAAAUGCUUAGAUAUCACGAAGAACUCCGAUUGCGAAGGCAGCUCACGGGAGCGCAACUGACGCUGAAGCUCGAAAGUGCGGGUAUCGAACAGGAUUAGAUACCCUGGUAAUCCACACCGUAAACGAUGAUUACUAGGUGUUGGAGGAUUGACCCCUUCAGUGCCGCAGUUAACACAAUAAGUAAUCCACCUGGGGAGUACGACCGCAAGGUUGAAACUCAAAGGAAUUGACGGGGGCCCGCACAAGCAGUGGAGUAUGUGGUUUAAUUCGACGCAACGCGAAGAACCUUACCAAGUCUUGACAUCCUGCGACGGACAUAGAAAUAUGUCUUUCCUUCGGGACGCAGAGACAGGUGGUGCAUGGUUGUCGUCAGCUCGUGUCGUGAGAUGUUGGGUUAAGUCCCGCAACGAGCGCAACCCUUAUGGUCAGUUACUACGCAAGAGGACUCUGGCCAGACUGCCGUUGACAAAACGGAGGAAGGUGGGGAUGACGUCAAAUCAUCAUGCCCUUUAUGACUUGGGCUACACACGUACUACAAUGGCGUUAAACAAAGAGAAGCAAGACCGCGAGGUGGAGCAAAACUCAGAAACAACGUCCCAGUUCGGACUGCAGGCUGCAACUCGCCUGCACGAAGUCGGAAUUGCUAGUAAUCGCAGAUCAGCAUGCUGCGGUGAAUACGUUCCCGGGCCUUGCACUCACCGCCCGUCAAG
rnacentral:rRNA from 1 species